UCAAUUUAUCUUAAAGAAAAUAUAUAUACAAGAAGGCAUGCAUACUGUAGCAACUUAGAAUGGCUGAAAAUCUUUCCGUAACAUCUAUGUGAAUAUAGUGGGAUAAACAUUUCAACGACAAUAGGAUUCUCCGAAGGAAACCUCAAGAUAAUGACUAAUGGACUAAACACGACGAAGGCCACCCCACACGCGGAGAUUGAACAAGUCUUUUCACAGACACUGGAAAAACACAACAGGCUGGUAAUUUUGGCGGGAGUUGCCAUAGUAACAUGGAUAGUAGUUUUCCUGGUCGUGCUAAAAAAUAUGGACAAACUUGCGAAGGACAGAAAAGUUAAAGGGAAAUGCGGAGAACUGGAAGACAUUGAAAAAGAUGUUGAAGCCAAGCAUAGACUCUAGCACUUUAGAACUCAGUCAACAACGAUUUCCUCCGCUCACUUUGGUCGAGAAUYGAACACGUGACACGAUAGUGCCUGCCGCUUCAGGAAAUUUUGUUGUCAAAGGACAUCAAAACAAUAGAGGAGUUUAAACCUCGCGGCAUUAAUAUAUAAAAUAUGAGCGGGAGACCUUUAAACUGCUGCGAGCUGCAAGCGAGCAGUUUUAUAGCCAAUAAAGGUCGGAUACGRAUAUCUUAUAUUGCUUACCAAAUUCCAACAUAAGAUUAAGCAUAUAUUAAUUAAUUAAAAAAUUAGUUUUAAGAUAAAAUUUAAAUUUAAGUCGUGUGCAAAUAAGCACAAAUUUCUCUUUCAAAUAAAGAUGCGAUCACGGCAAUGAUUUUCUAUAGUG